rnacentral:rRNA from 1 species
GGAAUUCGACGGGGGCCCGCACAAGCGGAGGAGCAUGUGGUUUAAUUCGAUGAUACGCGAGGAACCUUACCUGGGCUCAAAUGGUAUGUUGACGUAUUCUGAAAGGGAUACUUCUUCGGACAAUAUACAAGGUGCUGCAUGGUUGUCGUCAGCUCGUGCCGUGAGGUGUCGGGUUAAGUCCCAUAACGAGCGCAACCCCUAUCAUUAGUUGCCAUCAGGUCAAGCUGGGGACUCUAAUGAAACUGCCUACGCAAGUAGUGAGGAAGGUGGGGAUGACGUCAAAUCAGCACGGCCCUUACGUCCAGGGCUACACACGUGCUACAAUGGCCGAUACAGAGGGCAGCUACCUGGUGACAGGAUGCAAAUCUCCAAAGUCGGUCUCAGUUCGGAUCGGAGUCUGCAACCCGACUCCGUGAAGUUGGAUUCGCUAGUAAUCGCGCAUCAGCCAUGGCGCGGUGAAUACGUUCCCGGGCCUU